rnacentral:rRNA from 1 species
UACGUAGGGUGCAAGCGUUGUCCGGAAUUAUUGGGCGUAAAGAGCUCGUAGGCGGUCUGUCGCGUCUGCUGUGAAAACUCAGGGCUUAACCCUGAGCUUGCAGUGGGUACGGGCAGACUAGAGUGCGGUAGGGGAGACUAGAAUUCCUGGUGUAGCGGUGAAAUGCGCAGAUAUCAGGAGGAACACCGAUGGCGAAGGCAGGUCUCUGGGCCACUACUGACGCUGAGAAGCGAAAGCAUGGGGAGCGAACAGG